AUGAUGAGAGACGAGAAAGAGGAAACAUUCAAGUGGAUCUUCAGGGAGUUUGUCCGUAUGGUGGGUGGGAAACACCCGCAGACAAUACUUACAGAUCAGGCACGCUCCAUGGAGCUGGCAAUCGAAGCAGAGCUGCCCAAUACCGUCCACCAUUGGUGCAAAUGGCACGUUUUGAAAAAAGCUAAGGAGUCCAUGGGUGUUCUUUGGAGCAAGAACAGCGAAUUCAAACUGGAAUUUCACAAGCUUGUCCAUCACAUGAUCACGGGAGUUUGA
rnacentral:rRNA from 1 species